GAACGAGAAAUAUUUUAUUGAAACUUCGGUCGAUUUAAUUUAUUUCUAGUGGCGGACGGGUGAGUAACGCGUGGGUAACCUGCCUUAUACUGGGGGAUAACAGCCAGAAAUGACUGCUAAUACCGCAUAAGCGCACAGAACCGCAUGGUUCGGUGUGAAAAACUCCGGUGGUAUAAGAUGGACCCGCGUUGGAUUAGCUGGUUGGCAGGGCAGCGGCCUACCAAGGCGACGAUCCAUAGCCGGCCUGAGAGGGUGAACGGCCACAUUGGGACUGAGACACGGCCCAGACUCCUACGGGAGGCAGCAGUGGGGAAUAUUGCACAAUGGGGGAAACCCUGAUGCAGCGACGCCGCGUGAAGGAAGAAGUAUCUCGGUAUGUAAACUUCUAUCAGCAGGGAAGAUAAUGACGGUACCUGACUAAGAAGCCCCGGCUAACUACGUGCCAGCAGCCGCGGUAAUACGUAGGGGGCAAGCGUUAUCCGGAUUUACUGGGUGUAAAGGGAGCGUAGACGGCGCAGCAAGUCUGAUGUGAAAGGCAGGGGCUUAACCCCUGGACUGCAUUGGAAACUGCUGUGCUUGAGUGCCGGAGGGGUAAGCGGAAUUCCUAGUGUAGCGGUGAAAUGCGUAGAUAUUAGGAGGAACACCAGUGGCGAAGGCGGCUUACUGGACGGUAACUGACGUUGAGGCU
rnacentral:rRNA from 1 species